rnacentral:rRNA from 1 species
ACGGGCUUCGGUCUGGUGGCGAGUGGCGAACGGGUGAGUAAAGUAUCGGAACGUACCUUUCAGUGGGGGAUAACGUAGCGAAAGUUACGCUAAUACCGCAUAUUCUGUGAGCAGGAAAGCAGGGGAUCGCAAGACCUUGCGCUGAUUGAGCGGCCGAUAUCAGAUUAGCUAGUUGGUGGGGUAAAGGCCUACCAAGGCGACGAUCUGUAGCGGGUCUGAGAGGAUGAUCCGCCACACUGGAACUGAGACACGGUCCAGACUCCUACGGGAGGCAGCAGUGGGGAAUUUUGGACAAUGGGGGCAACCCUGAUCCAGCCAUGCCGCGUGAGUGAAGAAGGCCUUCGGGUUGUAAAGCUCUUUCGGCCGGGAAGAAAUCGCAUGGGCUAAUACCCUGUGUGGAUGACGGUACCGGAAUAAGAAGCACCGGCUAACUACGUGCCAGCAGCCGCGGUAAUACGUAGGGUGCGAGCGUUAAUCGGAAUUACUGGGCGUAAAGCGUGCGCAGGCGGUUUAGUAAGACAGGCGUGAAAUCUCCGGGCUCAACCUGUGAACUGCGCUUGUGACUGCUAAGCUAGAGUAC